GGGGUUGUAGCUCAUUGGUAGAGCACUUGCCUAGCAUGUGCAAGUCUCUAGGUUCAAUCCCCAAUACUU
rnacentral:tRNA from 1 species